AAGAAAAAUCAACAGGUUGCAUGAAGAAACGUAGAUAGCUCCUCUCUGCUCUCAUCGUCGCAAGCAAAAAAAAAUGCAAGGAGGAUCAACUGGCAUUGGCUAUGGCCUCAAAUAUCAGGUGGUCACCAUUCCAAAACCCUAACUCACUCGCUAUUUCUUCAAAUCUAACCCUAAUCUCGUUCAAAAAAUUCAAUGUCCUUCAGGCAAGGUGCAUAUCAGAUGUGAAGGCAGACACGGAUCACACCAGCUUCAUCACUGGAACUCUCAGUCUCAGAGAAGAAAACGAGGUGCACUUGCUUAGGUUAUCUGCAGGCGGAACUGAAUUGAUAUGCGAAGGAUUGUUUUCGCACCCUGAAGAGAUCUGGAAUCUCUCUUCCUGUCCUUUUGAUCAACGUGUUUUCUCCACUGUUUUCUCCUCUGGUGAGUCAUUUGGAGCAGCAGUGUGGCAGAUUCCUGAGUUAUAUGGGCAGUUAAAUUCUCCGCAAUUGGAAAGGAUUGCGUCUCUUGAUGGACAUGUUGGGAAGCUUAAUUGUGUCCUAUGGUGGCCAUCGGGAAGGAAUGAUAAGUUGAUAAGCAUUGAUCAGGAAAAUAUCUUCUUGUGGAGUUUAGAUUGUUCAAGACAAGCAGCCCAGGUAGAGGUGCAAUCGAAGGAGUCGGCUGGUAUGCUGCAUUACUUAUCUGGUGGAGCCUGGGAUCCACAUGACGUGAAUGCUGUUGCAGCAACUUGUGAAUCCUCAGUCCAGUUUUGGGAUCUACGGGCGAUGAAGAAAACAAAUUCAAUUGAGUGCGGCCAUGUUCGCAAUGUAGACUAUGACACCAGGAAGAAACAUAUACUUGUUACCGCAGAGGAUGAAUCUGGGAUACACAUUUGGGAUCUUAGAAUGCCCAAGGUUCCUGUAAAAGAGCUUCGUGGACAUUCACACUGGACAUGGGCUGUCGCAUGCAACCCUGAAUAUGAUGGACUGAUCCUGGUUCUCUCUCUCUCUCUCCCUCUCCCUCUCCCUCUCCCGCUCUCAUCCCCCACAAACACACACACACACACACCAUCCUCUUCCACAUUAGUCACUAAAGAUCACCUUUUAUCUAAAUUAAUGUCAAACACAAUCGAGUCCAAAGGUGGAAAGUCAGCAAUAAGUCCAUUGUUUGCAUUGCCUGUAAGCAUGUGCUUUCUCAAAUGGACAGCGCUUAUGGAAUACGGGAAGUAUAAAAAACUGGUCACAAGUAUCACCGUUUCUUGCUGUUUAUGGAUCAUCAAUUAUAUGCCUUGCAAUAAGGCGGUGGGUGAGAUACCCUUCCAUUUGAAGUCACUUCCAUUUGAAGUCAUUCAUUGUCUGGAUGGUUGUUAUGAUAACGAAACAGGUUACGCUGUCCCUUCUAGCUAUCCUAUUUAUUAACAUUUUCCUGACCAAAGGUAAGUUAUUGCAGAGUGGUGGUUCAGACUCGACUGUCAAUUUGUGGUUCGCUUCUACGACAACCAGUGAUGAGUUGACAUCUGAAAGUGUGUUUAAAUCACCAACUCGGGAACUUGAUUCAAUGCUGCUGAACUCAUUCAGUGACUAUGACGACAGUGUCUAUG